GAUGAAGAACGUAGCGAAAUGCGAUAAGUAAUGUGAAUUGCAGAAUUCAGUGAAUCAUCGAAUCUUUGAACGCACAUUGCGCCCUCUGGUAUUCCGGGGGGCAUGCCUGUUCGAGCGUCAUUAUAACCACUCAAGCUCUCGCUUGGUAUUGGAGUUCGCGAUCUCGCGGCUCCUAAAAUCAGUGGCGGUGCCUGUCGGCUCUACGCGUAGUAAUACUCCUCGCGAUUGAGUCCGGUAGGUUUACCUGCCAGCAACCCCCAAUUUUUACAGGUUGACCUCGGAUCAGGUAGGGAUCCCCGCUGAACUUAAGCAUAUCAAUAAGCGGAGGA
rnacentral:misc_RNA from 1 species